CAUAUUAAAUAUUUUAUAAUUAGUCGAAUUUCACAAUUUUAGAAAAGAAAUAAAAUAGAAAAUAAAAAGUUAAAGAAAAAGAAAAAAAAAUGUAUAACUUAUUAAUAAAUCUUUAAUUUUAUUAUAAUCACAAAUUUGCCACUCAAUUUUGAAAUUGAUUUGAAAUUGAGAACUCCUUUUUUAAUAUAGUAUAGAUUCCGAGGCAUUCUAAUUUGAUAGCUAUCACCUAUAACAAUAUUCUGAACACUUUUAGGUUUUAGGCUUUUGAUCCGAUAUUUCCG
rnacentral:lncRNA from 1 species